ensembl:lncRNA
AAACGUAAAGAUUUGCUUUUUCAUUCUGGUCACAAUGUUUUUGAAGUCAAAGACAUUUAUAAAUAAACCUCUUACUCUGGAUAGGAAAUAGAUGCAGCUAUGAAAUAAUUAUUACAGCUAUAGUAAAAAUUCUGAGCCUUAUGAAGGAAUUCUUCAAAGUCUCUAUAUUAACAAAGGAAAGAAAUAUCUUUUCAUAUACUUCUCCUUGCUUUUGUAAGUUUUAUGAGAAACUGAUAGGGUUUCAUUAUGGGAAGUAGUUUUUGGAUGUUAAUUCUCUGCUCAUCUGUCUCCCCAAGCCCCUCAGACAUUAAUUAAACUUUUAUAGCCAUUCAAACUAACAUCUAAACAUUCCAACUCGAAGCGGCUUAAGUACAGCCUCAGGCUAUAUCUGGCCCAAAUCCACCAGAAUGGCUCUAUGCCUAAUCCUCUGUUCCAGCUAUUGACUGUUCUUGACCCCCUUUUCCUUUACUUUUAUCAUCUAUUAUCUUAAGUGGGCUUACUCUGUUCUUGUCCAAUUCUGUCUGCUGGCAUAACUAAUUAUUACUUGCUGUGUACCCCACUUUCCUACAGCCAGAUAGUAUUCUUCACAGUGCCACACUUUCAGAGGCAUAAAAUAGCUUGAUAGUUUGACUCUAUCAAAGUUAUGCAAUGAGUGACUGUAGCUGUUUGAGCUCACAGUUCCAGAUGGCAUGUGAUCAAUAUAUGGGAUGUGUCUCGCAACUAGCUAGAUAUUUGGCAUUUGAAACAAGAUGUUACGGCUCCUUAGGAAGUGCUCCAGACCCUAUUGUUUUGAAGGGAACUGCAUACUAGUAGCUGGUGAGGAAGGGAUGCAAACCACCACAACUGAAGAACAUUUGAACUGAUGUUUGCUAUUUGAAUCUUACGUUUGUUGCUACUUCCCACUGUAUUUUAUACUUUAUGCACCAUGGCCUGUACAGAUUUCUCUGCUUCCAUUAGCAGCAGUGGAGUUUAUAGAGUGACCCAGCUACUUUUGGGUAAAACAACCAGUUGUUCAGGUACUGCUGACCAUGGAAACUAGAUCUUUAUUGCAUAUAUUUGGACCUUAGACAAGGAACACAUACCUGGGGACAAUACUGACAGAUAAAAUUGGGCCAGCUAUGUUGUAGACAGGUAAAAAGUUCCACUUACACAUAGCAGUUCCAUGAAAAAUGUUAUUUAACGGAUAACUGGGAAAAUAUUUUCCAGCACACUGAGGAUCCCUCAACUAUCUGGAUGAUGUUUUCUAGACAUAUGGUUAGCCCUCGUUUCCUUGCCAGUUGGACAUUAUGGAACUUUUCUGAUUUAGUAACUCAUUCACAAAAAUAUGUAGCAGCAAAAUAACAUUUAUCUCUGAGAUAAAGCCCAUUUUUGUUAGUAAGGAGCUUAGGUUUGUGAUAGAAAGGAUACCAUUUCAUAUGAAAGGAGGACUCCAGCUCUGGUCACCAGUGGAUUCCCAGAAAUAGCAAGAGGGUUGUGCUACCCUCGGGAGUCAUUAGUCUGAGAGCAUUUGGGAUUUUAGAGAGUAUUAAUGAAAGGAUUUUUCCAUGCGUGUUGCUUUAUUUUUAUCUAACUUUCUAAACCCCAUUUUUGUGUGUGUCAAAAAGGUCCCUUGUUUAGAUGUUCCUCUGUAGGGGAAAAAAAAAAAAUUCUCUAUUUUCCUCACACGUCUAUUUUCUUUACAAGUGUUUCUCAAAGUGUAAAGUAAUAGAUGACAGUAUAUGUGAUGUUAGAUCUCUGAGGAGGGCAUAAGCUUUUAGCGAUAUUUAGCAGUUAAUGUUGGCAGUGGGAUGUCAAGGCCUGGCAUCCCCAAAAGGCAAGAGGGUGUCAGAGUCUCUGUGGCUGAAGGUUCACCUGCCUUAUCUGACAGGAGGACAAGUAAGAUCUAAGCCAGAAUUGUAACAACUCUUAUUAAGGAAAUAUUAAUGAUUGUAUCAUUUCAUCAAAUUAAGCAAAUUCUUAGGUAUCCAGCAGUUAUGGAGGAUUAAGAAUAUCAAAUUAAAAUCUGAAGCCAGAAAUCAGAUGGCUCAGUUUGUCUCCAUUCCUUUAAAUAAGUCAAAUCGGACCAGAAGUGACAAAUAUGUUGCUGUCCAUACUAAAAGAAUGAAACUUCAUUUUUGUUUACAAUGGUAAUUAUUAUUGCUCUUCCGGUGUGUAACUAUGCAAUCAUUACACUUCAUUAAUCACAUUCUAUAAAGAGGCAGUGCUAUUUAGUCUUACUGUCUGGAAAACAUUAACAGCUCCACUCUUCAGAGAUUAUUUUAUCCCCAAAAGCGCUAUUAUCCUUUUUACUUCAGGCUCUUAACAAAGCAGGAAACUUCAGGUUUAAUGUGUUGUAGUUACAUUACUAGAUGUAUCAAGCAAACUCUUCAGAGUUGUAAAAAUACUCAGUACUGCAAACUGUUUAUACUAAAAGCUAAUGGUUAUGAUUAUGUUUAUUGCUCAUCAUACAGACAGCAAAACUUACAGAAUGACUGUGUGUGAAAUCAGCUGGCCAAAAGCUACUGGCAGCUCUGUUUAAAAAUCCUGCUCCUGUAUCCUAUUUUCUAAUCAAAAAAUCAGAAUUUCAGUGUAUACAGUAAAUGUAAUGAAGCAUAAAGAACGGAUUAUUUAGGCCAGGCUUUUCUGUAGAAGGGGAGGAAAGUCAACUGGUGUGUAUCUACAAAACGUAAUUUUUGUGAGGGUUGGGCAUUAAUCCUGGAACCUGCCACUUCACAGUUUUGAUAUAUUGCAAAAACUGUUAGAUAAGUGUGGCAGUUGCCAAAGCAAAUUAAUUAAGAAAGGAAACGAUAAUGCCUUUCUUUUUUUUUCCUGGUAAAAUAUCAUAAAGUUAUAAAGCAAAUGCUGAAAGAUAUUCCCCUGCCCCCUAAUCCUCAUCAAUUUUGGUGAAGAUUAAUGAUGAAAGAUCUAACAGAGCCUCAUUAGGUGCCAAAAGAAAUGGCAUAUAUGUUAACAUUCCUCUAGGAGCCGUGGCUGUGACUCCAGGAAAUUAAUUUAUAAUUCAUUCUACUAUAGUUAAGACUUAGUGUUUCCUCCCGAAUGUUACAAGUAAGGCUUUAAAUAUCAGAACUUGCCAAAACUAUACAGUAAAUAAGAUCAAGCUGUUCCUUGCACGAGAGAACUAGUAAAGAUGUUUUUUUUCCCCUCUUUCUUCUGUCAUCUUCAUCUUGCCUAAAAUACACAGUAAGAGCUUUGCCAAUUGGGAUGUAAAAUGCCUUCUUGAUUGUAGCAUAUAAUUAAAACUUCCCUUUCUACUUUUUUCCACACCAGUUUAUAAAGGACCUACUUGAAUUUGAAGCAAAAAAAGACAUCUGGCUUUAUGGCUUUGUGUAGGCUGAAGCUAGUUAUAUUCAUUUUUUUUAAUACAUAUUUGAACUGAGUCAAGCCUAAAAUAAUGAGCACUCCUUACCCGCUGGAAUAUACCCCUUCAUGCUGAGAAGCGAAAUAAAUUCUGUCAUGAUCACUGAAAACAUGCCAGAACCAUUACUGCACAUCACUCUACUUUGGCCCAUGAUCAAAUGUAUUACGAUCCUAUACAAAAAAAAAAAAAAAAAAAAAAAAAAAA